rnacentral:misc_RNA from 1 species
UGUGGGAGCGAGCCUGCUCGCGAUGAGGGCGUCACAUCCAAAACCGUUGUGGCGGAUAUACCGUUAUCGCGAGCAGGCUCGCUCCCACA